rnacentral:tRNA from 1 species
GGGGCUGUAGCUCAGUGGUAGAGCACUUGUCUCACACUUAAGAGGCACUGGUUUUGAUUCUCGGCACCA